AUGGUGUAUCUUAGUUACAGUAAUAUAACCUCUUAUGUUACUUAUACAGGAGAACCUGACCAAGCUGAAAUUUACAUAGACAUGUGGGACACUGACCAUGAUAUAGACCUCGUGUUAGUCCCAGGCACUUGUUGGCCACUUACUGAAAAGGGUCCAGAAUGUUUUAUAGCCACUCGUGCCACCAGAACUGAUGUUACAGUUGAAAGGAUAUGCUUAGCCACUGUAGGAUUUCUUUGUGUCCAGGAUCUUCCCCUCACUGUAAAUAUCACUUGUACUCUACUUCAAUACACCCCUUCCCAUUCAAUUAACACUUCCCUGGCUAAGGAGGGCAUUCAGGUUCAGAACCAACAAUUAUGGUAUGAGCCUACAGAAAAACCUCACUUAUCAGGAUUUAAAUGGACAAUCCUAAAUGCCACUUUAGGAACCAUCCAUUUUUCUUUUCCCCUCUCUCACUUUCAAACCGCCGCCACUUACUCUAACUGCUCUAAAGGCGCAGCCCUACGCCUGAUGGAACAACAAACUCGACUUAAAGAUAGCAGAAAAAGGAGAGAUAUUGUUGAUACUCUGCUGCACGGUGCUAACACUGCAGCCUCAGCUUGGACUGUUUACAAAACGCAGGAACAUGAGGGCCAUCUGGGACAAUUAGACCAGGCCGCAGGGUUUAUCUCUGGGACUCAGAUUACUGAGGAAAAGGCCGGUAUAGGCGCACUCCAUACUAUCUCAGCACUAAGCAUUGUUACCCAGGACCUGCUUAAGCAUAUGGUCCAUCAGGCUACUGUAUCAGGAAAGGCAUUGCAGUGGGAUCAGGCGUGUUCAGAAGUACAGGAUUAUCUCAAUACCAUCCUUUUCUCCUUACGUAAGGACCUCGAACAGCAGCGCUGGCCCACUGCCCUUACUAAUACAUCUGGUAUAUCCCCCUAUUUGUGGCCAUGGAGACACACUUGGAAGUUUUCUGAAUGGAAGUGUUGGCGCUCACAGUGUUCCUUCCGGGCUUAUGGACCCGUGAAAGGAUUUUGGGCCCCCACUUAUCGUAUUCUCCCAGGCCCUUGGGGUGGUUGCUUGUGGGACUGGGUAAUUCAUCGAGAUGUUUGGGAAAUUAAGCCCCCUGGCGGUCCUAACCGCUUCUUAAUUGGUGCCCCAGCUAUAACCCCUGACCUUUGGAUAGGUCUAGGUGAUCUCUGGACCUAUUGGCCCUUACAGCCCCCACAACUACAAUGCUUUAGAAAACUACACCCCGGAGAGGUGGUAACUGUCCAUCACCGGGUAUGUUGGGAGGGU
rnacentral:lncRNA from 1 species